CCUACGGGUGGCAGCAGUCGAGAAUCAUUCACAAUGGGGGAAACCCUGAUGGUGCGACGCCGCGUGGGGGAAUGAAGGUCUUCGGAUUGUAAACCCCUGUCAUGUGGGAGCAAAUUAAAAAGAUAGUACCACAAGAGGAAGAGACGGCUAACUCUGUGCCAGCAGCCGCGGUAAUACAGAGGUCUCAAGCGUUGUUCGGAAUCACUGGGCGUAAAGCGUGCGUAGGCUGUUUCGUAAGUCGUGUGUGAAGGGCGCGGGCUCAACCCGCGGACGGCACAUGAUACUGCGAGACUAGAGUAAGGGAGGGGGAACCGGAAUUCUCGGUGUAGCAGUGAAAUGCGUAGAUAUCGAGAGGAACACUCGUGGCGAAGGCGGGUUCCUGGACAUUAACUGACGCUGAGGCACGAAGGCCAGGGGAGCGAAAGGGAUUAGAUACCCGUGUAGUC
rnacentral:rRNA from 1 species